rnacentral:rRNA from 1 species
UACGUAGGGAGCAAGCGUUGUUCGGAUUUACUGGGCGUAAAGGGCGCGUAGGCGGCAAAUUAAGUCAGCUGUGAAAUCUCCGAGCUUAACUCGGAACGGUCAGCUGAUACUGAUCUGCUAGAGUGCGGAAGGGGCAAUCGGAAUUCUUGGUGUAGCGGUGAAAUGCGUAGAUAUCAAGAGGAACACCUGAGGUGAAGACGGGUUGCUGGGCCGACACUGACGCUGGAGUGCGCGAAAGCCAGGGGAGCAAACGGG